UACAGAGGGUGCAAGCGUUAAUCGGAAUUACUGGGCGUAAAGCGCGCGUAGGUGGCUGAUUAAGUCGGAUGUGAAAUCCCCGGGCUUAACCUGGGAACUGCAUUCGAUACUGAUCAGCUAGAGUAUGGAGAGAGGGAGGUAGAAUUCCACGUGUAGCGGUGAAAUGCGUAGAUAUGUGGAGGAAUACCGGUGGCGAAGGCGGCCGUCCUGGCUUAAUACUGACACUGAGGUGCGAAAGCGUGGGGAGCAAACAGGG
rnacentral:rRNA from 1 species